rnacentral:ncRNA from 1 species
GCUUCCGGAGAAUCUCUUAAAUGAGAUGCCGAAGGUGCAAGGUCUGCUGCCCACGCUGCAGACCGAAACUCUCAGGCAAACGGACGGAUGAA